rnacentral:tRNA from 1 species
CGGUUUAACUAAUCUUAAAUUGCAAGUUUAAGUAAGCAAUUAUUGCAAAAACCUU